CAGCAGCCGCGGGAAUACGUAGGUGGCAAGCGUUGUCCGGAAUUAUUGGGCGUAAAGGGCUCGUAGGCGGUCCGUCACGUCAGAAGUGAAAACUCAGGGCUUAACCCUGAGCCUGCUUUUGAUACGGGCGGACUAGAGGUAUGCAGGGGAGAAUGGAAUUCCUGGUGGAGCGGUGGAAUGCGCAGAUAUCAGGAGGAACACCAGUGGCGAAGGCGGUUCUCUGGGCAUUACCUGACGCUGAGGAGCGAAAGCGUGGGGAGCAAACAGGCUUAGAUACCCGGGUAGUCCCUGUCUCUUAUAC
rnacentral:rRNA from 1 species